rnacentral:rRNA from 1 species
UACGUAGGGAGCGAGCGUUGUCCGGAAUUACUGGGUGUAAAGGGAGUGUAGGCGGGACGGCAAGUCAGAUGUGAAAUUUAGGGGCUCAACCCCUGACCUGCAUUUGAAACUGCUGUUCUUGAGUGAAGUAGAGGUAAGCGGAAUUCCUAGUGUAGCGGUGAAAUGCGUAGAUAUUAGGAGGAACAUCAGUGGCGAAGGCGGCUUACUGGGCUUUAACUGACGCUGAGGCUCGAAAGCGUGGGGAGCAAAC